rnacentral:lncRNA from 1 species
GGGGUUCAUAUUAGUGUUCUAGGAAGGGUUUAAAAGCACCUAGAACACCCGCUAAUGCGGUUAUCCAACAAUUAACUAUUUGGCUAAAGUAGAUUAACUUGAGCAUACUUGACUAAGUUACAAAAAUAAAGAGUUUGAAACUUGAAGUCAUUUUUUAAGGGAGAGGAAAGUACUAUAAGAGCAUUUGCUUAAGUGAAAUAUAAUAAAUAUUAAGGUCAAUUAAAAAAUGAGUUGGUUUUAAUUUCAAUUCAAAACGGCUUUCUUUUGGGGAGUUGAAUUUUUAGAAUCUUAAGAUUAAUUUUAACAAAUAAAACAUAUAGUAGCAAUUGAAUGGAUAAGGAAAGGAAGUUUGGGCCCAAGUUUGGUUUUUUAUGUCCGCCUGGACCAAUACUUGGGCCCAUUUUCGUUUUGGACUUUUGGUCCAUUUGAGUCAUUUAUACCUGCCCUAUUCUAACGUAAUAGAAAUAUUUUCUAUUUGGGCCUUAGGCUCAAUUCUUCCGCCUGUCCUAAACUAACACGAUAAUAGCAAUUAAAAUGACAAGGGCUUAGGCCCAAAAUAACAAAAUACAAUCUUUUAUAAAGAUUAGGCCUUUGGCCCAAUCUUUUCAAAUUUUCUCAAUCGGUUGCUUCUUUCAACUUCGGGACCUGUUCGUCGACUUUAGCGAUUGACUGACUCAAUGGGGGUGGCAUUUGAGCCUUUAUGGCUCUCUCGAUAUGCAAGGGAAAAAUAUGGGAGUUCAUGGUGAACUCGGGCCGAUUUCACAUGCAAACGAUAAACAAAUAAAAUUAGCAUUCACGCUUAAACUUGUUCACAAAAAUAACAUCUCUAGUAAAAAGCAAAUAAAUAAAGUAAUAAAUAAAAAGGUAUGAGUUUGAUUCCUAACGAGGUAAACUAGGAAAUUCACAACAAAAUAAGGCUACUACCAAUGUAUACUUGACAGAUUUCAAGGGGACGCAAAUUAAGAAGAGAAGAAGUCUAAUUUUGACAGUAAGAAAGCACGUUUGAGUUGACCAAAGAAAACAUACCACUGCUUAUCAUAAAAAAAAAAACAAUAAAAAUGCCUCACACAUGUUCAUUCUAGAAGGUAAUAGCACAUUAAUAUUAAUAAUCAAUAAAAUGGGGCAUAUUAGAUGAUGCACUAUAAUCUAGCAUGGCUUGAAUAUGAUGAAAAUAUAUUAAAUGUUCAAACUAAUAUAGCAAUGAUAAUCAGGCCGCGGGAGAGGCAACCUUAAUAAUGAUCAUUGAGGCAAGACAAGCUAUUUGUUAUUACCAUUAUUCAUAUACUUAGCCAUCUAUAGCUGGACAGUAAACAAUUUAGACAAGAGCCAGAUUCAAAUAGAAGGGACAAUGAAUUUUAACAACAUGAUCCUACACCACGGUUCAAGAAAUCUCAAUUUUUGCACCUUGCUGGGAUGUGACCGAGCAUAAAUUAGCUCAUUUGCUUCAAAAGGGGGAGCUAAGGGAUCGACAUCAAGAGAAGUUUGCUACCAAAAUAAAUCAUGCAUCAAAUAAUCUUAGAGGCCAAGCUCCAACAAACUAAGCUCCGAAAAAUAAAAUAAGAAACUCAAACUUUAUACCAUUUUUUACUUACAAACAGUGAACCAUUUCGAACUGGAUUAGAGGGCAAAGAGAUUCGAAAGACAAUAGGCAAACUAGAGUAAUUUCUACUGAACUUUGUAUCAUGGCUUAAGCAAAUACGAUGAACAAAGUACCAAAACCAAAGACCAUAAACAAUUUGAUAAUCAUUUUUACACUCAACCUAGAUCGAAAUAAGAGAAAUACGACGGAAAGAAAUCAAGCCGCGAAGAGCUCGCGACCAAACAAGAAUGAGAUCCGACAUGCUAGCAAAUAGUAGUAAACUGCUCCAAAACAAGAUGCAUACACAAAUGAUCUCAAAUAGGAAGAAAAAGACAGUACUAGCCAAUACUCAUUUACCAAAUCCUAACCUGUAGUGGCCGAAACAAAGCCAUCACAUAUUUAUAAGCUACGAAAAGAGGGGGAAGUCUUGGUAGAUUUAGUAAGAUACAUCAACCUAUCCCUUUUCAAAAUAGCAUGAAAUUAAAGCAACAAUGGCAUGUAAUACUUAAAUUGAUUUGUAUCCUAGAUGCUAUACAUUAUACCAUGAGGAAAAGGGAAAGAGACAGUAACUAGGGAUAGGAUCUUAAAUUUAUCCAUUUUUAAACAAUACAUGACCAUGUCUUUCAUAAAGAAACAGAUCAUAGGAAACAACAAAUCAUCGAAUCCAAUCACAAAGUGAAUUAAAACUACUUAAUAUACAUUUGAAUUUAGUCGAAAUGACAAAACGAAUUUAAGAGGAAGAGGGGUUACCUUCUUCGGAGCAGCGUUCCGGAACAACGAGCUUGAACUACGAAGCUUCCACCACCACGUGAAAGGAACUCCAAUGGAAGUUUCCGGCGAAAAAGAACGGAGAGCUUAAGCCGAGACCUCAAAACUCGAAACUAUUGAAUUAUAACUAUAGAAGUUGGAAUUCUUCUUAUGACUCUGUACCAACAGUAUUCUUUUUUGUCUCCUCUUUCUCCAACCUAAAUUUUCCAACUCAAAUCCUCUCUCCUUCUGGCAGCAAAGACAACAUAAUAUAUAUAGAAGAAGAACUAGGGCAGAUUUGGGGGAAGAGGGACGAAAAUUUGGGCUCAGGCCCAAUAAUUCAAACUUCAAAUUUCUUUCACCAUUAAAGGCAAACAUAUUUUUCCCACGAUUUUCGCCCCAUUUCGAAAGAGGAAAGGGACAGACGCGUGCUG